rnacentral:rRNA from 12 species
UCUGGCGGCAGUAGCGCGGUGGUCCCACCUGACCCCAUGCCGAACUCAGAAGUGAAACGCCGUAGCGCCGAUGGUAGUGUGGGGUCU